rnacentral:ncRNA from 2 species
GCAACUCUGGAGACAAGGCGGGCCGUAGGCCAUGCCUUACCGAAGGUGUACGACGCCGCGUUGCGGUGUCUCAGACUCUCAGGUUUCAGGACAGAGCGGGGAGG